rnacentral:misc_RNA from 1 species
UUGCCGCAAGGCCUCCCGGGUAACCUACCACCCUUUGUUUAUUACACUUUGUUGCUUUGGCAGGCCUGCCCUCGGGCUGCUGGCUCCGGCCGGCGAGCGCUUGCCAGAGGACUAAACUCUGUUUGUCUAUACUGUCUGAGUACUAUAUAAUAGUUAAAACUUUCAACAACGGAUCUCUUGGUUCUGGCAUCGAUGAAGAACGCAGCGAAAUGCGAUAAGUAAUGUGAAUUGCAGAAUUCAGUGAAUCAUCGAAUCUUUGAACGCACAUUGCGCCCCCUGGUAUUCCGGGGGGCAUGCCUGUCCGAGCGUCAUUACAACCCUCAAGCUCAGCUUGGUAUUGGGCCCCGCCGACCCGGCGGGCCCUAAAGUCAGUGGCGG